UACGAAGGGGGCUAGCGUUGCUCGGAAUUACUGGGCGUAAAGGGCGCGUAGGCGGAUAGUUAAGUUGGGGGUGAAAGCCCGGGGCUCAACCUCGGAAUUGCCUUCAAUACUGGCUAUCUUGAGUACGGGAGAGGUGUGUGGAACUCCGAGUGUAGAGGUGAAAUGCGUAGAUAUCUGGAGGAACACCGGUGGCGAAGGCGACAUCCUGGACCGGUAUUGACGCUGAGGCGCGAAAGCCAGGGGAGCAAAGCGGG
rnacentral:rRNA from 1 species